AUUGAACGCUGGCGGUAGGCCUAACACAUGCAAGUCGAACGCGAAAGUCCUUCGGGAUGAGUAGAGUGGCGGACGGGUGAGUAACGCGUAGGAAUCUAUCCUGUAGUGGGGGAUAACGUUUCGAAAGGAACGCUAAUACCGCAUACGCACCAAGGGGGAAAGCGGGGGAUCUUCGGACCUCGUGCUAUAGGAGGAGCCUGCGUCGGAUUAGCUAGUUGGUGAGGUAAAGGCUCACCAAGGCGACGAUCCGGAGCUGGUUUGAGAGGAUGAUCAGCCACACCGGAACUGGGACACGGUCCGGACUCCUACGGGAGGCAGCAGUGGGGAAUAUUGCGCAAUGGGCGAAAGCCUGACGCAGCCAUACCGCGUGUGUGAAGAAGGCCUUCGGGUUGUAAAGCACUUUCAGUGGGGAGGAAAAGCUGGUGGCUAAUAUCCAUCGGCCGUGACGCUACCCACAGAAGAAGCACCGGCUAAUUCCGUGCCAGCCGCCGCAGUAAAAC
rnacentral:rRNA from 1 species